rnacentral:rRNA from 1 species
AACGAACGCUGGCGGCAUGCCUAACACAUGCAAGUCGAACGGGAUCCUAGCUUGCUAGGUGAGAGUGGCGGACGGGUGAGUAACACGUGGGAAUCUGCCUUUUGGUUCGGGAUAACCGCGGGAAACUGCGGCUAAUACCGAAUGCCCUCGAGAGAGGAAAGAUUUAUCGCCAGAAGAGGAGCCCGCGUCCGAUUAGGUAGUUGGUGGGGUAAAGCCUACCAAGCCGACGAUCGGUAGCUGGUCUGAGAGGAUGAUCAGCCACACUGGGACUGAGAUACGGCCCAGACUCCUACGGGAGCAGCAGUGGGGAAUAUUGGACAAUGGGGGCAACCCGUGAUCCAGCAAUGCCGCGUGAGUGAUGAAGGCCUUAGGUUGUAAAGCUCUUUUGCCAGGGAAGAUGAUGACUGUACCUGGAGAAUAAGCCCCGGCUAACUCGUGCCAGCAGCCACGGUAAU